UACGUAGGGGGCUAGCGUUGUCCGGAAUCAUUGGGCGUAAAGCGCGCGUAGGCGGCCAGAUAAGUCCGGUGUGAAAGCCACAGGCUCAACCUGUGAAUGCCGCUGGAAACUGUCUGGCUAGAGUCCGGGAGGGGCGAGUGGAAUUCCUGGUGUAGCGGUGAAAUGCGCAGAUAUCAGGAGGAACACCAAUGGCGAAGGCAGCUCGCUGGAACGGAACUGACGCUGAGGCGCGAAAGCGUGGGGAGUGAACAGG
rnacentral:rRNA from 1 species